CAGUAGCCGCGGUAACACGAAGGGUGCAAGCGUUACUCGGAAUUACCGGGCGUAAAGCGUGCGUAGGUGGUGGUUUAAGUCCGUUGUGAAAGCCCUGAGCUCAACCUGGGAAUUGCAGUGGAUACUGGAUCACUAGAGUGUGGUAGAGGAUAGUGGAAUUUCUGGUGCAGCAGUGAAAUGCGUAGAGAUCGGAAGGAACAUCUGUGGCGAAGGCGACUAUCUGGGCCAACACUGACACUGAGGCACGAAAGCGUGGGGAGCAAACAGGAUUAGAUACCCGCGUAGUCCCUGUCUCUUAUAC
rnacentral:rRNA from 1 species